GGAAAGCUAAAUAUUAUAGUUCAGUUACACGUUCAUAGCAAGGUCUAAAAGGUAAUAGGGAAGUUACUGCACUACUUUAAGUACAGGGCAACUGAGUCCCAGCACACAAGGGAAACCUACUUUUGCUGUUAUGCAUAAUACAGAACUAAUUUGACCAACUGCAAGCAAGGAGCUUACAUUGUCUAUAUUGGAGUAACUUUCUGCAGGCCCAUUUACUUCUGCAACACUAUCAGCCGAAGGUGAUGAAGCAUCAUCUCCAGACACUACAUUGUCUAUAUUGGAGUCACUUUCUGCAGGCCCAUUUACUUCUGCAACACUAUCAACCGAAGGUGAUGAAGCAUCAUCUCCAAACACUUCUUUCUCCUGGAAAGAAAGGCCAAAAAUAUUAAUCCCUGAAUUACUGCAAGAUUCUGGCUUCAUCAGUAACUCUAGAUUUUAUCAAGAGGAGCUUCUUUGCUCUUAGUGAAACUAAACGGGAGGUUGAAA
rnacentral:lncRNA from 1 species